AGUGAACGCUGGCGGUAGGCCUAACACAUGCAAGUCGAACGGCAGCACAGGAGAGCUUGCUCUCUGGGUGGCGAGUGGCGGACGGGUGAGGAAUACAUCGGAAUCUACUUUUUCGUGGGGGAUAACGUAGGGAAACUUACGCUAAUACCGCAUACGACCUACGGGUGAAAGCAGGGGACCUUCGGGCCUUGCGCGAUUGAAUGAGCCGAUGUCGGAUUAGCUAGUUGACGGGGUAAAGGCCCACCAAGGCGACGAUCCGCAGCUGGUCUGAGAGGAUGAUCCGCCACACUGGAACUGAGACACGGUCCAGACGCCUACGGGAGGCAGCAGUGGGGAAUAUUGGACAAUGGGCGCAAGCCUGAUCCAGCCAUACCGCGUGGGUGAAGAAGGCCUUCGGGUUGUAAAGCCCUUUUGUUGGGAAAGAAAUCCAGCUGGCUAAUACCCGGUUGGGAUGACGGUACCCAAAGAAUAAGCACCGGCUAACUUCGUGCCAGCCGCCGCGGUAA
rnacentral:rRNA from 1 species